UAGAAAUGGGACGCUGCACUUCCGCUUAGCGCACAUGUCCUCGCACGCCUUUUCCAAUCCCGCCUUUCUUCCAUCCAAUGGCGCCUGUUUUUCUUUUUCCAGACUCCCUCUUGUUCUUCUCCAACAAAUUCUCCUCUCUCUCUCUCUCUCUCUCUCUCUCUCUCUCACCUGUUUAUUCUGUGUUAGUGGCGAUUGGGUUAGGGUUGAUAACAGUUACUGUUCACAUUUUCCCCAUCUCCUUCACCUCCUUCACGCACAUAGUACCCAAACACCGACAUUGCCUUCCUCAGACAUCUAUGACUCUCAAGAAAAUCUUUUAGUUUUUAGAAUUCCAACCUCCAAAUAUAUUUCUUAGAAUCCUAAUUUUAAUUUUAACUAUUUUAAUUUUUUGUGUUCAUUCUCUCUCACGACGGCCUUCCUUGCCCGCCAAUCUAAGAGGUAGAGUGACGGGCCUGGCUCUGUCUUGGGCCUGUUUCCCUGGUACUUGGGUCUGUUACUCCAUUUUUCUGUUGCAGUAUUUCAGCUUUUGUUGUUGUUUGGGAUCGUGAUCUGCUUUUCCGUAGACUGGUUUUGGCAUCGACGGCUCCCUCUCUCUCGCCGGCGCUCUCUUUCUUGCUCUCUCUCUCUCUCUCUCUCUGGCUGGCUGGCUCGUUCUCGCACUCUCUAUGGCUCGCUCGUUCUCGCACUCUCUGUUCAUGAGAGCCUCCCUUCCUCCAUUCCAUAGAGAUGAGUUUGUUCCUCAAAAGGAAGGGAGUUGUCAGUUGAGUACUUGGAAAAUGACAUUGACAUCUUCCAGAGUGUGAAUGAUUGGGUUGGUAUUGUAAUUUUCAAGUUCUGAGAUAUCUGAAAUAAAAUUGAUAGCGUGUCAAACAUGAUUAUUGUUCAAUGUGCGGAUCUUUUUUCAUACUUGCUGCGGUGAAUUCUGUGGACAAUCUCUUUGGGAGGACUGGAAUACUAGAAAAGAAACUAUAUCUGAUAUUAUUGUUCUGCCAUAUAAACCGGAAGAAAGACUAACACUUGUGCAGCAGGAGCCUUUAGAGAAAGGGUCAACCAUCACACAUGUUCCUAAUAGGAAAGGAACGUUGAGCAUUGCAAACUAUCUCUGUAGGUGUGGCGUGAAGGCUGCUCCCUAUAAUGUAGCGGUAAGUCAUGGAUUAUAACAGUUUUUUCAUGUACAUAAUGUAUGCCGAUGACAGAUUCUUUUUUAUUGUCAUAUUGCCAACUCAUUGAGUUCCACUCAUUAUCCAAUUGCUAACUUAAAGAUGAUUCAUGCUGCCAUCAAAAUCUAUCUCUUGUUUGCCACCAAAAUAUGUUUCAUAUACGCUUCAAAAGGAUUUACUAGAGCUUCAACAUCGUGUCAUUUACUAUUCACUAAAGCUUCAUAAAUAAUUUUUUUAUUUUUUUACUAAGAAGUCUUCAUUACUAUUUUAUAAAUUUUUCAGACGAACUCAAAAGAUGUACAAAGUGUUGCAAGCAGUUUGUGUAUUUUCAUGUUAUUUAAUGAAUUAUUCUGAUUUUUGGAAGUUAGAGUAUACAAAAAUAGUAACAAACGUAAGAGAAUGACAAAUGGUGACACUUGAAUUGUGCGUCGUCAGAGUUUCCGACAGGUGUUAGUAUCGCGUAGCUCUACGUGUCAUCAGGUUCAUUUUUGUAUCUUUAACUUAAAAAAUUCACAAACAAUGAAUAAAAAAUGAAAAAAAUGGACCGAAAUUUCUUAAAAAACUCCUUGCAACACUAUCUUCGACUAUGAUGUGUGAUAAUAAAAUUUUGGCCUUGGAAAAUUUGAAGUAAUUAUUGGAGGAAGAGUUGUUGUAAAGGAGAGUAAUGAUUUUCAACAUAGUAUUAUUGUUAGCAUCAAAACAAACUUGACUUCGAGAAAUUAUUUGAAUUUUACAUGUCAAAAUUAUAUUUUAAAGCUUAGCCGCGGUAGAUGUUAGAGUUUACGGUAUGAAGCAAUAGACAUUAGAGUUUAUAGGGAUGAAGCAGGUGAAGGAGUUGAGUCUUAUUCAAUCUGUCUCCACUGAUAAUAGCUCUGUCAAUGAGUUGUCAAGCUGCCAUUGUGCUGCUGGUUUUGCAUCAGUGGAUUUUAUUAUUUGGAACUUAAUAACUGAGACCAAGGUAGAGUCUUUUCCUGUACCUCAGACUGCUUACUGAAAUGAUUUGUAAGUUGUUUGUGUUAUUUAUUUUGAUGCCUAAGGACCCAUAUUUUGUUGCCGGUUGUGCAAAUUCCAUGCGGUGGAUGGAGUCGUCCUCAUUCCUAUUAUCUUGGUGAUGUACCAGAAAUAAAGAACUGCUUUGCAUAUGUUAAGGAUGAAAUCAUUUAUAUUCAUAGGCAGUGGGUGCUUGAUGGUGAAAGGAAGGUACUCUCCAGGAAUUUGCAUAUGCAAUUCCAUGGGAGAGGCAUUCCAUAUGCUUUGUCUCAGAAGGAUUUCAACCUGGAGUAUAUGGGAAGCACAACCUCUUCUCUGCGUCUAGUUGGAUCGCAACUGGUUGUGAAGAUAGAACUGUGAGGUUGACUAGGUAUAUGCCAGGUGUUGAGAAUUGGUCUGCAUCAAAAUUACUUGGGGAGCAUGUUGGUGGAUCAGCCGUGAGAUCAAUAUGCUCUGUGUCAAAGAUAAGCAUAGUUACGUCAGAUGUGACCAACAUACCCGAUAUGAGAAAUGGACAAAAUGCAGCAAUGGAGAACAUAGAAACUCCGGGUUCGUUGAUUUCUGUUGGUGCAAAGCGGGUAUUGACUUCUUGGCUACUAAGUAGGAAGGUAGACAAGAAGGAAGAACAACAUAACAUCACUGGAAAUAGCAAUAAAUACUUCAAAAGGAUUCACUAGAGCUUCAAUAUCGCAUGAUUUACUAUUCACUAAAGCUUCAUAAAUAUAUAUUUUUUUACUAAGAAGUUUGUGGGAUU